GCUCAGUAACACGUGGAUAACCUGCCCUAGGGAAGGGGAUAACCCCGGGAAACUGGGGAUAAUACCCUAUAGAUUACAGAUGCUGGAAUGCCCUGUAAUCCAAAGUUCCGACGCCCUAGGAUGGAUCUGCGGCCGAUUAGGUUGUUGUUGGGGUAAUGGCCCAACAAGCCCGUAAUCGGUACGGGUUGUGGGAGCAAGAGCCCGGAGUUGGAUUCUGAGACACGAAUCCAGGCCCUACGGGGCGCAGCAGGCGCGAAAACUUUACAAUGCGGGCAACCGUGAUAAGGGAACCUCGAGUGCCUGUAAAUGCAGGCUGUUCAGGUGCCUAAAACACACCUGAAGAAAGGGCCGGGCAAGACCGGUGCCAGCCGCCGCGGUAAUACCGGCGGCUCGAGUGGUGGCCGCUUUUAUUGGGCUUAAAGCGUUCGUAGCUGGGUUGUUAAGUCUCUUGGGAAAUCUGGCGGCUUAACCGUCAGGCGUCUAAGGGAUACUGGCAAUCUUGGAACCGGGAGAGGUGAGGGGUACUUCGGGGGUAGGAGUGAAAUCCUGUAAUCCUCGAGGGACCACCUGUGGCGAAGGCGCCUCACCAGAACGGCUUCGACAGUGAGGGACGAAAGCUGGGGGAGCAAACCGGAUUAGAUACCCGGGUAGUCCCAGCCGUAAACUAUGCGCGUUAGGUGUAUCGGUGACCACGAGUUACCGAGGUGCCGAAGGGAAACCGUGAAACGUGCCGCCUGGGAAGUACGGUCGCAGG
rnacentral:rRNA from 1 species